rnacentral:rRNA from 1 species
GUGGGGAAUAUUGGACAAUGGGCGCAAGCCUGAUCCAGCCAUGCCGCGUGAGUGAUGAAGGCCUUAGGGUUGUAAAGCUCUUUCACCGGGGAAGAUAAUGACGGUAACCGGAGAAGAAGCCCCGGCUAACUUCGUGCCAGCAGCCGCGGUAAUACGAAGGGGGCUAGCGUUGUUCGGAAUUACUGGGCGUAAAGCGCACGUAGGCUGAUAUUUAAGUCAGGGGUGAAAUCCAGGGGCUCAACCCCGGAACUGCCUUUGAUACUGGGUAUAUUGAGUAUGGAAGAGGUCAGUAGAAUUGCGAGUGUAGAGGUGAAAUUCGUAGAUAUUCGCAGGAACACCAGUGGCGAAGGCGGCUGACUGGUCCAUUACUGACGCUGAGGUGCGAAAGCGUGGGGAGCAAACAGGAUUAGAUACCCGUGUAGUCC